rnacentral:rRNA from 1 species
GAUGAACGCUGGCGGCGUGCCUAAUACAUGCAAGUCGAGCGAACAGACGAGGAGCUUGCUCCUCUGACGUUAGCGGCGGACGGGUGAGUAACACGUGGAUAACCUACCUAUAAGACUGGGAUAACUUCGGGAAACCGGAGCUAAUACCGGAUAACAUGUUGAACCGCAUGGUUCAACAGUGAAAGACGGUCUUGCUGUCACUUAUAGAUGGAUCCGCGCCGCAUUAGCUAGUUGGUAAGGUAACGGCUUACCAAGGCAACGAUGCGUAGCCGACCUGAGAGGGUGAUCGGCCACACUGGAACUGAGACACGGUCCAGACUCCUACGGGAGGCAGCAGUAGGGAAUCUUCCGCAAUGGGCGAAAGCCUGACGGAGCAACGCCGCGUGAGUGAAGAAGGUCUUCGGAUCGUAAAACUCUGUUAUUAGGGAAGAACAAAUGUGUAAGUAACUAUGCACGUCUUGACGGUACCUAAUCAGAAAGCCACGGCUAACUACGUGCCAGCAGCCGCGGUAAUACGUAGGUGGCAAGCGUUAUCCGGAAUUAUUGGGCGUAAAGCGCGCGUAGGCGGUUUUUUAAGUCUGAUGUGAAAGCCCACGGCUCAACCGUGGAGGGUCAUUGGAAACUGGAAAACUUGAGUGCAGAAGAGGAAAGUGGAAUUCCAUGUGUAGCGGUGAAAUGCGCAGAGAUAUGGAGGAACACCAGUGGCGAAGGCGACUUUCUGGUCUGUAACUGACGCUGAUGUGCGAAAGCGUGGGGAUCAAACAGG